GUGUCAGCAGCCGCGGUAAUACGAACUGUGCAAACGUUAUUCGGAAUCACUGGGCUUACAGGGUGCGUAGGCGGCUUGUUAAGUAGGGUGUGAAAGCCCCCGGCUCAACCGGGGAAUUGCGCUCUAAACUGGCGAGCUGGAGUGAGAUAGGGGUGUGUGGAACUUCCGGUGGAGCGGUGAAAUGUGUUGAUAUCGGAAGGAACGCCGGUAGCGAAAGCGACACACUGGGUCUUUACUGACGCUGAGGCACGAAAGCCAGGGGAGCGAACGGGAUUAGAUACCCCGGUAGUCC
rnacentral:rRNA from 1 species